rnacentral:rRNA from 1 species
GGCUACACACGUGCUACAAUGGGUAGUACAGAGAGUCGCAAAGCCGCGAGGUGAAGCUAAUCUCAGAAAACUAUUCUUAGUUCGGAUUGUACUCUGCAACUCGAGUACAUGAAGUUGGAAUCGCUAGUAAUCGCGAAUCAGCAAUGUCGCGGUGAAUACGUUCUCGGGUCUUGUACACACCGCCCGUCACACCACGAGAGUUGGUUGCACCUGAAGUAGCAAGCCUAACCGUAAGGAGGGAUGCUCCGAGGGUGUGAUUAGCGAUUGGGGUGAAGUCGUAACAAGGUAUCCGUACGGGAACGU